AACAGGAUUAGAUACCCUGGUAGUCCACGCCGUAAACGAUGUCGACUUGGAGGUUGUUCCCUUGAGGAGUGGCUUCCGGAGCUAACGCGUUAAGUCGACCGCCUGGGGAGUACGGCCGCAAGGUUAAAACUCAAAUGAAUUGACGGGGGCCCGCACAAGCGGUGGAGCAUGUGGUUUAAUUCGAUGCAACGCGAAGAACCUUACCUACUCUUGACAUCCAGAGAACUUAGCAGAGAUGCUUUGGUGCCUUCGGGAACUCUGAGACAGGUGCUGCAUGGCUGUCGUCAGCUCGUGUUGUGAAAUGUUGGGUUAAGUCCCGCAACGAGCGCAACCCUUAUCCUUUGUUGCCAGCGGUUCGGCCGGGAACUCAAAGGAGACUGCCAGUGAUAAACUGGAGGAAGGUGGGGAUGACGUCAAGUCAUCAUGGCCCUUACGAGUAGGGCUACACACGUGCUACAAUGGCGCAUACAAAGAGAAGCGACCUCGCGAGAGCAAGCGGACCUCAUAAAGUGCGUCGUAGUCCGGAUCGGAGUCUGCAACUCGACUCCGUGAAGUCGGAAUCGCUAGUAAUCGUAGAUCAGAAUGCUACGGUGAAUACGUUCCCGGGCCUUGUACACACCGCCCGUCACACCAUGGGAGUGGGUUGCAAAAGAAGUAGGUAGCUUAACCUUCGGGAGGGCGCUUACCACUUUGUGAUUCAUGACUGGGGUGAAGUCGUAACAAGGUAACC
rnacentral:rRNA from 1 species